rnacentral:rRNA from 1 species
UACAGGGGGGGGCAAGCGUUGUUCGGAAUUACUGGGCGUAAAGGGCUCGUAGGCGGCCAACUAAGUCAGACGUGAAAUCCCUCGGCUUAACCGGGGAACUGCGUCUGAUACUGGAUGGCUAGAGGUUGGGAGAGGGAUGCGGAAUUCCAGGUGUAGCGGUGAAAUGCGUAGAUAUCUGGAGGAACACCGGUGGCGAAGGCGGCAUCCUGGACCAAUUCUGACGCUGAGGAGCGAAAGCCAGGGGAGCAAACGGG